GAUGAACGCUGGCGGCGUGCUUAAUACAUGCAAGUCGAACGAACAGGCGCGGCUCUUGGGGCGGUGUCGUGAGGAGCGGGCGGGUAAGACACGCGUGACCAACCCACAUAUCUGGCUGAAAUAACGGCGAGAAAGCGGAGCUAAGGCCGGAUGAGAUCUUGAAACGGAUGGUUUUAUAAAGAAAUACGGGUUUUGUGUGGGUUUUCGAUGGAUCAGCGCCGUAUUAGGUAGAUGGGGAGGUAAUGGGAUACCAAGGCAACGGGGGGUAGCCGACAUGAGAGGGUAGCCGGCCACCCUGGGCCUGAGACACGGCGCAGACUCCUACGGGCGGCAGCAGUCGGGAAUAUUGCACAAUGGGGGCGAGCCUGAUGUAGCGACCCCGCGUGCGUGAUGACGUCCUUCGAGUUGUAAACCAAUUUCUAAAUGGAAGAAGCCAAAGUGACGGUACCUGAUCAAGAAGCACCGGCUAACUACGUG
rnacentral:rRNA from 1 species